AUUUCAUGGUGAGGACAAUUUUUAAUCGUCAUAUUAAAUCGCUCGAAAGCUUCAUGAAACAUCUCGCCUUGUUGUUGUUGAAAACUCCUCAACCCCUUUCUUGAAUC
rnacentral:snoRNA from 2 species